rnacentral:lncRNA from 1 species
GUGACAUAGUAGCUGGUUUGUUUUAAGGUAUAAAGAACCAUCUUCAGCAACUUAUUUUUAAGUCUGGUGGUUGCAAGCCGGACUUCCAUAUGCAUACAAGAUAAAGAGACUUCUACUUCACAGAAACCCGAACUUUGUCAUUUGUAUGACACAACAAUUUUGGCACUUUGAGCAGGGUACUCCCAGCUGAGGGAACUCUGACAGAGAGGUGGAGAGGAAAAUCUAGACGGCCGCUUCUAAAAAGAGGUGCUGCUGGAGGAGCAUGCAGUGGAAAUUUCAUGACUCACUGCACAAUGACAGGACCAUCUGCUGAGACAACAGAGCUCAGAAGCACACCGGAUGGAUGCUGACAUUCCACCUGGGACCUCUUGGAAUGAUCUGUUCACAGCAGUCAGCUAAGCAGUAAUCUUUUCAUUAUGAUUGAUCAGCAAAAAUGAAAAUGGAGAAUUCACUGAUAUUUUUGCCAGUGCCAGAAGUGGAAUGCAUCUGGAAUGUAUAUGUACACACUGAAUCAUUUAACUAGAAAUAAAUAUAUUUAACAAGUUUUUCUGGUGUCUUACAAUUCUUUCUUCCUGUUUUUUUUGGUACUAAUAACAAAAAAAAUGUUUUCUAGCUAUUUCUUUUCCAUCUUAUGUUGUUUAUGCUUCUGCAAACUAAAUGUAACAUCCUAAUGUUGUUUACAUUAAAUAUCAACUGCUGUACCAGUUGUUUA